rnacentral:rRNA from 1 species
GAUGAACGCUGGCGGCGUGCCUAAUACAUGCCAGUCGAGCGAACGGACGAGAAGCUUGCUUCUCUGAUGUUAGCUGCGGACGGGUGAGUAACACGUGGAUAACCUACCUAUAAGACUGGGAUAACUUCGGGAAACCGUAGCUAAUACCGGAUAAUAUUUUGAACCGCAUGGUUCAUAAGUGAAAGACGGUCUUGCUGUCACUUAUAGAUGGUUCCGCGCUGCAUUAGCUAGUUGGUAAGGUAACGGCUUACCAAGGCAACGAUGCAUAGCCGACCUGAGAGGGUGAUCCGCCACACUGGAACUGAGACACGGUACAGACUCCAACGGGAGGCAGCAGUAGGGAAUCUUCCGCAAUGGGCGAUAGCCUGACGGAGCAACGCCGCGUGUAUGAUGAAGGUCUUCGGAUCGUAAAACUCUGUUAUUAGGGAAGAACAUUUGUGUAAGUAACUGUGCACAUCUUGACGGUACCUAAUCAGAAAGCCACGGCUAACUACGUG